rnacentral:rRNA from 1 species
GACGAACGCUGGCGGCGUGCUUAACACAUGCAAGUCGAGCGAGGCCCAUCAUUCGGGGUGGUGCCUUAGCGGCGAACGGGUGAGUAACACGUAGGCAACCUCCUCUCAGCUCUGGGUUACCUCCAAGAACUUGGUGCUAUUACCGGUUCUGACCGCUGACCGCAUGGUCUGGUGGUGGAACGAUUCAUCGGCUGAGGAUGGGCCCGCGGCCCAUCAGCUUGUUGGUGGGAUAAUGGCCCAAGAAGGCGACGACGGGUAGGUGACCUGGGAGGGUGACCGGCCACACUGGGACUGAGGCACGGCCCAGAGGCCUACGGUGGGCAGCAGUGGAGAAUAUUGCGCAAUGGGCGAAAGCCUGUCGCAGCGACGCCGCGUGAGGGAUGACGGCCAUCUUGGGAUAAACCUCUGUCAGUAGAGACGAAGCGAAAGUGACGUUACCUACAGAAGAAGCACCGGCCAACUACGUG